CAAGGAUCUAUCCUACAACAAAGGUCUCACAGGAUCUCUCCCAACAUCGAUUGCGAAUUUAAAGAAUCUAACAAACUUAAUCUUAGUUGGUUGUGGUUUCAAUGGUCCAAUUCCCGAUGCAAUAGGAUCUCUACCGCAGCUGAAGUACCUAUCCCUAAACUCUAAUGGCUUCACUGGAAGUAUUCCACCAUCCAUUGGUAAUCUAUCAAAUCUUCUUUGGUUAGAUUUGGCUGAUAACCAGCUAGAAGGACCAAUUCCAGUUUCAAAUGGAUCUACACCAGGGCUUGAC